rnacentral:rRNA from 1 species
GACGAACGCUGGCGGCGUGCUUAACACAUGCAAGUCGAACGGAAAGGCCCUGAUUUUGUGGGGUGCUCGUGUGGCGAACGGGUGUGUAACACGUGAGUAACCUGCCCCUGUCUUUCGGAUAACUUCAGGAAACUCGGGCUCAUACCGGAUAGGAGAUUCUGCUGCAUGGUGGGGGUUGGAAAGAUUCGGCGGUUGGGGAUGGUUUAGCGGCUUACGAGCUGGUUGGGGGGGUAGGGGCUUUCAAGGGUUUCGAAGGGUAGCCGGCCUGAGAGGGUGAACGGCCACCUUGGGACUGAGGUACGGCCCAGACUCCUACGGUAGGCAGCAGUGGAGAAUAUUGCACAAUGGCGGGAAGCCUGAUGCAGCAACGCCGCGUGCGUGAUGACGGCCUUCUGGUUGUAAACCGCUUUCGCCUGUGACGAAGCGUGAGUGACGGUAAUGGGUAAAGAAGCACCGGCUAACUACGUG